ACUAAUAUGGCAGAUUAGUGCA
rnacentral:tRNA from 1 species